AGAGCAGUUAAGAUAGACAUCUCAAUGUCCUGUUGCCCUUCAGACCCCAUACGGAACACAGUAAUAAGUUCCUUUUUUUUCAUGCAUUCCAUCAGAAUGAUAAACAGCUGAUGAGCUUGAUUCCUGCUGUAAUUGAAGGUUUUCUGGAUGGUUACUAGAAGCUGGUCCCUGAGAGAUUCACUUAUUAUCCUAAAUGAUAAAGGAGACACAAAACAAGACGUUGUUGGAAUUAGUAUAUAUGUAAUGAAGGUCUGAUGCUUGAGAAGCAUAAUUUUUCAUGCACCAGUGCAGUGAUUUUAUUUGAAAAUAAAUAAAAACACACAUUUUUGCAUUCAAUAUGGAAAGGUUGUGAAGUUUACAAAAAAAUAACAGUAAUCAGGAGAUUUGCACCCAGACUGGCUCUUGUGCAUCUCAGCCCUUUGAUAUUGAUUUAAAAACUGGCAAGGAAUUUCAACUAUCCUUUUG
rnacentral:lncRNA from 1 species